GUCUACGUCCAAAAAAUAAGAUUUAUUGCUGUUUGCUUUAAAAUAUAUUCUUAAUAUAAAAUACAAUUAAACAUAUACUGACAUGAAAUUUAAAAAAAAAAAAACUUUGAAACACAAUGAUUUAAUACAAAAUCUCGCAUUUACACGACUCAUUACGGUAUGAGUUGAUUUUAUUCGAGAUUAACACGUGUUUCCGCUGUAGCAGUAAACAACAACACUUCAACAGCAUGAAUUUUCAUGACUAUUUUACGAUGGAGAACACGUCAAUUCAUCAGAUAUGACGGGUAUUUUCUUUGGCAUUAGAUGUGACACGUGUAGUGCGCUGGUACCAUUUAGGCUUCAGAACUUUCAUCUAUGAAGACCCACUUGCUGAUGGCCACCAUGCACAGAAAAGACCAUGAUGUGGAGGACAUAUGUGCUAAGUUAUUAAAGUCGGGACAGAAUACAUUUAGAAACUGAUCAUGCCUUGGUCAAAUCAAAGGUGUUCCCUCAGUCUUUCAGAGAGAUGGCAGAUAGUUCAUUCAACAUGAAGAUGAUGUGCACAUAAUGUAAUCUGGAAUCUAAAGUUAGAGAUAAAAACCUGCAAACUUACUAGCAAAUAAGCCUAUCUGCUUGUUAAUUAUUCUUUGCCGGACACUUCACUUUUAGGAAUGCUCUUUAUUUCUAUCAAUGAUGCAAGUGGUUAUUCAAGAUCAUGUCAUGUGAUAUAAGGGAUUCUGACUUUUGACAGCAUAAGACAAGGGUUUGUGAGAAGAGUAGCAAAUACUAAAGAAAUCCUUGGAUACUGAAAUUCAGUCAUUGUAUGCCACAUAAACUGGAUGAGUGCAAAAUUGUAUCUGAAGUUCUGUGCUUGUCCAUCUUUGCUGUUUUUUCAUAUGCUUAUAUAAUGACAAAAGUUGUUUUAACAAGUGACCCAGUAAAGACUUGAAAAUGUAAAAUAAUUCUUGUAAGAAAAGAAAAAUUGUAAAUGUUUUCUUAUACAUUGUAUUCUAGAUGACAAAGAAUGUGUUUGACUAAGUUUUUGAAAAUGACAAAAUAAAUUCUCUUUUGUGUAAUUAAAAAAUGA